rnacentral:rRNA from 1 species
UACGUAGGGUGCAAGCGGUAAUCGGAAUUACUGGGCGUAAAGCGUGCGCAGGCGGUUUUGUAAGUCUGACGUGAAAUCCCCGGGCUCAACCUGGGAAUUGCGUUGGAGACUGCAAGGCUAGAAUCUGGCAGAGGGGGGUAGAAUUCCACGUGUAGCAGUGAAAUGCGUAGAGAUGUGGAGGAACACCGAUGGCGAAGGCAGCC